AUUGAACGCUGGCGGCAGGCUUAACACAUGCAAGUCGAACGAGUGGCGGACGGGUGAGUAAUGUAUGGGGACUGCCCGAUAGAGGGGGAUAACUACUGGAAACGGUGGCUAAUACCGCAUACUAUCGGAUAACCCAGAUGGGAUUAGCUAGUAGGUGGGGUAACGGCUCACCUAGGCGACGAUCUCUAGCUGGUCUGAGAGGAUGACCAGCCACACUGGGACUGAGACACGGCCCAGACUCCUACGGAGGCAGCAGUGGGGAAUAUUGCGCAAUGGGGGCAACCCUGACGCAGCCAUGCCGCGUGUAUGAAGAAGGCCCUAGGGUUGUAAAGUACUUUCAGUCGGGAGGCGUUACCGACAGAAGAAGCACCGGCUAACUCCGUGCCAGCAGCCGCGGUAAUUC
rnacentral:rRNA from 1 species